GGCGUCUCAGGGUCGCUCCUGGAGAGUUUCCAGUACUCUACCAGUCUCGGCUAUGGGAGGGAGAGUCAAGCAGAGGCAUACCCAUUCCAUCCCUAGCUUGGGCAGUGGCUAGCAAAUGCAAGGCAAUCUGCUACAAUU